rnacentral:rRNA from 1 species
AAUGCCGGAUGUUCCACAUGAGCGCAUGCGAGUGUGGGAAAGGCUUUUGCGGCAUGGGAUGGGGUCGCGUCCUAUCAGCUUGUUGGUGGGGUAACGGCCUACCAAGGCGUUGACGGGUAGCCGGCCUGAGAGGGCGACCGGCCACAUUGGGACUGAGAUACGGCCCAGACUCCUACGGGAGGCAGCAGUGGGGAAUAUUGCACAAUGGGCGCAAGCCUGAUGCAGCGACGCCGCGUGCGGGAUGGAGGCCUUCGGGUUGUAAACCGCUUUUGUUCAAGGGCAAGGCACGGUCUUUGGCCGUGUUGAGUGGAUUGUUCGAAUAAGCACCGGCUAACUACGUGCCAGCAGCCGCGGUAAUACGUAGGGUGCAAGCGUUAUCCGGAUUUAUUGGGCGUAAAGGGCUCGUAGGCGGUUCGUCGCGUCCGGUGUGAAAGUCCAUCGCUUAACGGUGGAUCCGCGCCGGGUACGGGCGGGCUUGAGUGCGGUAGGGGAGACUGGAAUUCCCGGUGUAACGGUGGAAUGUGUAGAUAUCGGAA